GCAGCGGGGUGAUAGCAAGUUGAAUACACCAGUUCCCAAUGGAUCACUGAAGUUAAUCAACGUUGCGUGUGGUCGGUAUGGAGAUGGGUGACCAUGUGGGCAAUCAGCUGGCUUUU
rfam:Asian citrus Psyllid, Diaphorina citri - Florida Strain, whole genome shotgun sequence.